rnacentral:rRNA from 1 species
GACGAACGCUGGCGGCGUGCUUAACACAUGCAAGUCGAACGUGAUUUUUAUGGAAAGCCCUUCGGGGACGGAAAUGAAAUGAAAGUGGCGAACGGGUGAGUAACACGUGAGCAACCUACCUUACACAGGGGGAUAGCCGUUGGAAACGACGAUUAAUACCGCAUGAGACCACUAAGACACAUGUUUUGGAGGUAAAAGAUUUAUCGGUGUAAGAUGGGCUCGCGUCUGAUUAGCUAGUUGGAAGGGUAAAGGCCUACCAAGGCAACGAUCAGUAGCCGGUCUGAGAGGAUGAACGGCCACAUUGGAACUGAGACACGGUCCAAACUCCUACGGGAGGCAGCAGUGGGGAAUAUUGCACAAUGGGGGGAACCCUGAUGCAGCGACGCCGCGUGAGCGAAGAAGGUUUUCGAAUCGUAAAGCUCUGUCCUAUGAGAAGAUAAUGACGGUAUCAUAGGAGGAAGCCCCGGCUAAAUACGUGCCAGCAGCCGCGGUAAUACGUAUGGGGCGAGCGUUGUCCGGAAUUAUUGGGCGUAAAGGGUACGUAGGCGGUUUUUUAAGUCAGGUGUGAAAGCGUGAGGCUUAACCUCAUUAAGCACUUGAAACUGGAAGACUUGAGUGAAGGAGAGGAAAGUGGAAUUCCUAGUGUAGCGGUGAAAUGCGUAGAUAUUAGGAGGAAUACCCGGUGGCGAAGGCGACUUUCUGGGACUUUUACUGACGCUCGGGACGAAAGCGUGGGGAGCAAACCGAUUUAUAUAUCCUAGUACUUCGCAGGGCGAAUUCCUAGAGAUAUCUAGCUUCUUGGACCGCCAACCGGGGGGUGUGUUCGUUUUAUAAAUUUGUUCCCUAGGGCGGUUAUUUACCCCCCACCCGCCAGGGCCCUGGUGAUUGUGAUUG